rnacentral:rRNA from 1 species
AGGAUAAACGACUGGCGGCGUGCAUUAGACAUGCAAGUCGAACGCGAAAGGGGAGCAAUCCCUGAGUAGAGUGGCAAACGGGUGAGUAACACGUGGUGACCUGCCUUCGAGUGGGGGAUAACGUCCCGAAAGGGACGCUAAUACCGCAUGAUAUCCUGCUCUUGGAUGAGUGGAGAUCAAAGCUGGGGAUCGCAAGACCUGGCGCUUGAAGAGGGGCCCCGCGCCUGAUUAGCUAGUUGGUGGGGUAACGGCCUACCAAGGCUACGAUCAGUA